CGAAACACUGGGCCGCCUGCAGCGGAGCGCGCAAACUUAACCACUCGGCCACGGGGCCAGCCCCAAAAUAUUCUUGACUUUUAAACAAUUGAGGAGGAAAAGUUUUUGUGCUUGGUCCCUAAGUGCUUAGCUCAGGGAUAUGUAGUGGUCCUUUCUCUUUCCUUAGUAGCUAAUGGAAAUUCAUUAUUAAAAAACCAGAAAUGGCAAUGCAUUUAUUUCAUUUUUAAGAGCUUGAACACUUAAGUGAGGAUGCUGAGAGCAGUUGUCUUUUCAUUACUUUAUAUUACAUGAAUUCAGCCUGUGUUCUUUACACUAUAGUCUUACUCAUUUUAGUGAGUAAUUGGGUGGAGAGCUAACUUUCUCCUUCUUUCAUUUUCCCUUUUCAGUGAUCAAUUGCUGUUUCAGAAAAUACCAGAAGACCCCAAAGGAAAACAUUCCAUCCAGAGUUAGUCAACAAGUUGUGACCUAUCUACAUUUAAUGCCAAGAGUAUCAUUUCCAAGUACAGCCAUGAAACUGAGCCAGACUUACCCAGUUGGAUAUAUUACAUUUGCCGUUUCCUUCUUCUCCACUUAGAACUGCCUAGCACUUGCCGCUUUGGGGAGCAGCUCACAUUAGGAAGCCUUCUUAAAAAUAAAGCCUUGGAAUUUCUGAGCCCAGGCGGAAACCCCAGAGACCUGAAUUAGCCUUCACUGAAUGUAGAGGAAUAAUGGCCUCUUCCACCAUGUCCACGCCCUGAUUUCAGAACCUGUGUAUAUGUUACCUUACGUGGAAGAAGAGACUUUGAAGAUGUGAUUAAAGUUAAAGAUCUUGAGGUGGGGAGAGUAGCCUGUGUUAUCCAAGUGGGCCCAAUCUAAUAAAAUGGACCUUAGAAGCAGAAAAUGUUUCCCAGUUAUGAUUAGGGAGACAGUAGAAGAAGGAGGAAAGAUUGGAAGUGUGAAAGGAGAAACCCACUCUUGCUGGCUUUGAAGAUGGAGGAGGGGACCAUGAGCCAAGAAAUGUGUCUCUUCUAGAAGUCUUCCAGAAAUGUGACUUCUUCUAGAAGUCAGGAAUGGCCCUCAGCUGACAGCUGGCAAGAGAUUGGGAAUCUCAGUCUUACAAGGAACUGAAUUAUGCCAACAACCUGCAUGAGUAAGAAAAUGGGUCUUGCCUUGGACCCUCCAUAAAGGGUCCCUGGCAACACUUUGAUUUUAUCCUAGAGAGAUUGUAUUGGACUUGAGACUUACAGAAAUGUACAAUAAUAAAUUUCUAUUGUUUAGCUCAUAAAAGUUGUGGUGUUUGUUAACACAACUGACAGAUAAGUAAAACACUGGACUUCCCUGGCCUUUAUCUCCUCAUCUGCAAAAUAGAGAUGAUACUAUCUUCCUUUUCUAUUGAGGACAAAAUGAGAUGCUUCAUGAGACAGUGCCUGGAAAACUUUAAAAUGCUAUGCAAACAAUAGAUAUUAUUAGAUUUAGAACUAGUUGAUGUGGUAGUCUCAGGGGAGGUCUUGUUGGUACAAAUAGCAAUCACACUGAUUGUUUCUAAUGCUUGAAAUCGCAAUAAGGUAAAGGAAAUAAAUUAUUUCAAAUUCUGUUUUGGUACAGUAACACUUGACAAUAUCUAAGCCUAAUGAGGUCACAAGAGUUAAAACAGAAAGCCCUGCUAAUGAAGGUUAUAUACAUGUCACAACUGGAAUAGAAGACAGAAGAACAGAACGAGUGCUAUUUUAAUAUAACUCUUGGCCUGACAAAAUGAAAAGUUAAUUAACAUGAGAUACCGAAAACCCAAAUAGCAGAUUCCAUCUCCAUUUUAGUUUACUGAGUUUGAUUUGAUUAUGCUGAUUCUCAAGCACCAAUAGCUACCUGGUAUUAUCAGUCUCUUGGCCCUGAUUUCUUAAUCAGCAAAAUAGCUGCUUCUUUCUUGCACAUGGUUAAUUUUGUUGGCUCAUUUGUUUUGGAAGGGACCACAAAGUUUACUUAGGUAGGUGGAUGGGCCACCUCUUUACUUUCGGGGAUAAUUACUUCCAAAGAAACUUUUAAAAUUUAGGCCAGUGUGUUCUAAUGUUUUUUAAGGACAAUCGGAGCUAGGUGGUUGAGCAUUUUAGUCAGUGAAUACAGUCGGCCCUCCCUAUCUGAGGGCUCCACAACUAUGGAUUCAAUUAACUGUGGAUUGAAACCAGAAACAAUGGCUUCUUAAUCUACCUUUUGUGGAGCUUUUGGUCUUUUGCUUCUGCUUGUCUCUAAGUGCUUGAUCCACCUCUCCUCUUCUCACGACAGAUCUCCUUUCUCUGCUUGUUUGUUAGCAGGUAUAUAGCUAAAAAUGACUAUCUCAGGCCAGCCUCUAUGUACAUUGAAUUCAAUUGCACAUAUCACUUUUUUCCCCAUAGUACUGCUUAGUUUAAAUUAAGUA